UUUUUUUUUUUUUUUUUUUUUUUCCCCCUUUAAAGGUAGGAUGCCCUUGGGAAGCUGAAGAACUGCUGCCAUUAUAUGGCAGAAAAUAUUCAUUGCUGUCUUGCUCAGCUUGAACUGCUGUAACAAAAUAUCAUAUACACUAUGGCUUAAACAACAGACAUUCAUUCCUGAGUUCUGGAAGCUAACAAGUCCAAGAGCAAGGUGGAGGCGGAUUCAGUACUUAGAGCAGCUCUCCUCCUGGCUUGCAGGACAGCAAAUGUCUCUCUGUACAAGGCACAGAGAGAUCUGGUCUCUUCUUAUCAGGUCUCUAAUGUAAUUAGGAGGGCCCCACCCUCAGGACAGUAUCUAAACCUAAAUACUUCCCAAAAGCUUUACCUUGAAGUACUCUCACUUGGAGUUUAAUGCUUCAAUCUAUGGGUUUGGGGGGACACAAACAUUCACCUAUAAGUGCUGCAUUUGUAUGCUCAUAAAUACAUUUGUUGUUUAAAUAAUUCUUCAAAGCAACAAGAACUUCACAGAUCUAAAGCUUUAAAAAGUGCAUCUUUUGGAAUCUGGAAAUAUCAUAUUGAUUUAGACAAAAUAUAUUGAGUAGAAAUGGAGUCAAUAUCUGCAUCAUCUUUAGUCAAUCCAAGUAAAACCAAACAUCUAUUAUUAGAGAGUAAAUUAGACAAAGGAAAAUAGAUAUUCCUUAGUAGGCUUCUCAUAUGCUGCCAACCACCAUGCUGCUUUUAUCAGAUGGUUUUCAUAAAAAAAUUACUUUUAUCCUGUGGCAGUAUAAAGACACUGCCUUCAUGCUCAUGGUCUGUGGUUCACAAUAAAGUAGGUGUUGAAACUGAUACCAAGAAAUGUAUUUGUGGCUUCUAAUUUAAUAUAGUCCAGGUUUAAAAGACAAGAGUAUUUUACUUUGGGCCAAAAAGGUAUUGCAUGACUCAGAAGAAAUGAAAUUAUAUAGCUUUUUUUUUCCCCCCAGAAUAUUCUCCAUUAUGUGGUACAAAGGAUAGACGAGUAAGGAAAAACAGAAGAGGAAAAAAGGGAAGCCUAUGUACCUUAACACAGGAGUGAUGGAAAGAAAAAAAAAAAAAACAAACUAUGGUUUAAUAAACUGUAGUUAAGGAGUUAAAAUAGUAACCCAAAAGAUUUCUAGGUGAAUCAUAUAUAAUACAAGGAGAUUUGAUUUAUAAACCUAAUUUUGUGUAUCUCCUGGGAAAUCACUUACCCUAGUUCAUGACAGAUUUGUGAAGAACCUUUGGUGGUUGGGAUUCCACAUGGGAGUUUUUCUAAGUGGUAAUUUACAGCAGGAAAUCGGGAGGCUUACAUUCAUAGAAAAUGCUACAUUUGAGAGAAUAAAUGGAGAAGAAUGGGAGGGUCAAACCAAGACACAGCUGUAGCAUAGCCGUGAAGUAGGUUCUUGGUACCUAGAAGACUGCUAGUCACAGUCACUCCUCAACAACUGAAUGGAUGAAUGAAUGGUUUCAGAUAAUCUCAUAAAAGAAUAACUCAUUCAUGUUACCUUACCAUCUGCUGUCUCCAUGAAUUUUAUGAAUUUGGUCUGGGAAUUUUGUGAAUCACUCUAUUGUGAAUGUGAUGAUGGCGCAGAAUUUGCACAAGUGUAUCUACGUCAGAGAGGGUGCUUCAAACAGAUGAGAUUUGGCCAAUAACAAAAUUCAGCUAUUUCAAACUUUUGUCUACACUGACAUCAAUGCAAAUAUUCAUUGAGGAGAGAAAGCAACGGUAGAAAAAUAUUUACCUGCUUCCUAAAUAAAAACAUAUUCUUCAACAUUUCAAAUUAAAAUGUGAACAGUGGAACUGACUCCGUUUCUUCAAGAUGAUUGAGUUUAUUCAAAUUCAAAACUCAAAUAUUUGUAUUUUUAAUACAAUAACUGGGCAUUUCAUUUUUUAUUUAUUAAUAUGUGUAUCCCUCCUUCCAGCAAUAGAUAUGGCCAGUGGGUAGAAUUCUAGGGAUACAAGGAUAUACAAUUUUGAAGGUGAGGAUCUUGCUUUUCCUUAUCAGGGGAAAAUAAAUUGGAAACAAUAUGAAACCCGGGAUCUAAUCUCUUCAAAUAUCUACAGAAAUUGGGCCUAGCUGAUAAAUGUUACCAUUCCAGUAAAAUCAUAUCAUUUCUAGUUUUUCAAUGAUAUAUUUGGUUUGUAAUAUUUAGAAAGCAAUUUUUUUCACUGAGAGACAUUUAUUCAAUGCUAUUAUUAAAUGACCUCUAGAUGCCCAGCUCCUGGAUUACACAAGGUAAAUCUGUCAUUUUCAAAGAGUUUAUAUGCCUUAAGGACAUAAAUAAUAUGUCUAAAUAAGGAUAUGAUAAAAAGACGCUAAUAAAUGUCACAACAUGAGAAAAAGGACAGAAGUUCUAUGAAUGCAUAGAGAAAGUUAACUGGCCAGAUUAAUUAAAUCUCUGCGGAGAAAAGCUCUCUUCUUGAAGAAAUCCAGCAUAACUUUGAUUUCAAAAUUGAUUGAUCUACAAAAAUUCAGCAACUCCCUUGUAGCUAUUAUUUUUAACCCCUUCCUUCAUCAAGGAAAAUGCAUCAACAUCAUUAUUCUGUCAGUUAGCUUCAGUUUGUUAGAGUCAAAUGGAAAAGAAAGAAACUGGGGCGCCUGGGUGGCUUUGAUGGUUUAGCUCCCAACUCUUGAUUUCAGCUCAGGUCAGGAUUUCAGGUUUUGCAGAUCGAGCCCCGCCUGGGGCUCUGUGUUCAGCACAGAGUCCACUUGAGAUUGUUUCUCUCCCUCCUUGGCUUCCCCUCCCCUCCACUCAUGUUCUCUCUCUCUUUGAAUAAAAUAAUUACAUCUUAAAAAAAAUUAAAGAAACCAAAUAUUAGUCCAAGCUAUCGUACUGAUUACCAAAAACAAAAACAAAAACAAAAACAAAAAAAAAAGGAAAAGAGCAGGAAGACAUGAAAAUUUUUAUUCUUUGUUCAACAAGCAUCCAACAGUUGUUUUUAAUUGAACUAGCCUGAAAUAACAUUCAGUGUAUCUAUCCAGAAAAAAAAAAAAUCCAAAUGAAUUAUUUCUAGUAAAUAAUUCAGAGGGCACUAUUAAGCUCUUUUGUUUGCUUGUUUACAUUUUUUUUUAAUUUUGCUUUUAAUCUUUUCACACAGUAAAAUCUUAUUUUGUCCUUCUUAUACCUUUUCCUUCUUUCUGCCUACCUUUGCUCCCGGUACCUAGUGACCUCAUUGACCUAAUUACUUCUAUGUCCUUCCUCUGGGCAGGGAGAAGGAAGUGCUGGAAAGCUGAAGUGCUGGUGGAGAAGGAAACUCAGUGCUAGGGAGACAAGCAGGAAAGCAGUGAUUAGCAAUAUCUGUGGGGGAUAUUUGAUAAAGUUUGCUGUCUUCGGUAUUAUGUAUUCCUUCAUCCUGUAUUCCCACAAAUACUUAAUAAAACACACAUUAGUCGGUGGUAGCUUCAGCAUUAGAUUUGUAUUACUUGGGCAGCCCGGGUGGCUCAGUGGUUUAGUGCCACCUUCAGCACAGGUCCUGGAGACCUGUGAUCGAGUCCCACGUCAGGCUCCCUGCAUGGAGCCUGCUUCUCCCUCUGCCUGUGUCUUUGUCUCUCUUUCUCUCUGUGUCUCUCAUGAAUAAAUAAAUAAAAUCUUAAAAAAAAAAAAAAAGAAAAAGAUUUGUAUUACCCUGGAAGGAAACCUACUGCUAAAUGUGAUACUUUGGGACAACAGAGAAUACCAAGGGUUCUCUCACAUUUUGGGUCACAGGUUUGUCCAUACUUAGGAUAGAGUCGGACAUUUCCAUAUCCUCCUACCUCCUCUAUUUGGCUUAUUUAUGGGCUUAUAUUUCAUGUUUUAAUGUUCUUAUCAGGCAAACACAGGAAUCCAUUCCUCUCUGAAAAUAAAGAUUAUACUAUAGCAGUUUUGUCAUAUAAGGAUUCAUCUAUUUCUUUUUCAAGUACUUUAAGAUUCAUAAAUGUUCAUAGAAUUCAUUAUUAUGAUGUUGCUUUUUGGAUUCAAGAAUUGUAAAAUGUGUUAAAUAUUGGGGGUUCCUUCCAGAUUCGUAUCUACCACUGUUUUCAUAUACCACAUUAUAUCCAUGAAAACAAAUAUUUCUAUAAAUGAGGCAGAUGAACGCAUAAUUUUACCCUACAAACACAUGAACUGCAUAUUUACAUUAGCCUUUUAUUUCUCUAUGAAUUGUCACCAGAAAUAUGAAAUUAAUUUAAACCUCCAAACAUUUAUAUUGAUACUACAUGAAAACGUGAAAUGAUUUCUUCAACCUUCUGUUUCUGUAGAAACAUAUUAAGACAAAUUGUUUUGUAUUUGUGAAAUUAAAAGCAAAUACAUAUUCAUUAUUAAUCAGUAGCAAUCAUAUAAACAUUUGAACUUAAAAUUUAUGGUAUAUAUUUGAAUUUUAUAUUUUUGUCAGAUAUUUAAAUCAUUUACAGAACUUUUGUUCUAAAAUAGUGUCUCAAGUUAUUUUUAUUCCUUUUCUUUUUUCUUUCUUUACUUUAUUCUUUUUUUUUUUUUUUUUUUUUUUUUUUGCAAAUAGGUAUCCCUCAAACCUCUGUUAAAUAUCUAAGGGCAAAGCACUGUCUUCUGCUUCCUAUGCCAAAGCUAGUAAGAAAACAUUUUUGCUUAACUUUAUUUUAGAAAACAAUAUAAUGUCAUCUCUAAUAAUAAAGAGCAUUUAAUGAAAAUUGCAAUAACUCAAAAGAAAAAUUAGUCUUUGUUUAAAUGCACUUAGGAUAUAUUUUCCCACUUAUUUUUUCUAAAAAAAUAAAAAUAAAAA
rnacentral:lncRNA from 1 species